GGUUGAUCCUGCCAGUAGUCAUAUGCUUGUCUCAAAGAUUAAGCCAUGCAUGUGCAAGUACAUACCUUAUUAAGGUGAAACCGCGAAAAGCUCAUUAAAUCAGUUACGGUUCAUUGGAUAUUAAUUUUUUACAUGGAUAACUGUGGUAAAUCUAGAGCUAAUACGUGCACAAAAGCUUUGACCUUUUAGGAAAAAGCGCAUUUAUUAGACCAAGACCAAUGGUCCUUGUGACCUCAAACUUGGUGACUCUGAAUAACUGAGCUAAUCGCAUGGCCUAUGCGCCGGCGAUAUAU
rnacentral:rRNA from 1 species